rnacentral:rRNA from 1 species
GGGAUUGCCCUAGUAACGGCGAGUGAAGCGGCAACAGCUCAAAUUUGAAAUCUGGCUCCCUCUGGGGGUCCGAGUUGUAAUUUGCAGAGGGUGCUUUGGUGUUGGUGGCGGUCUAAGUUCCUUGGAACAGGACAUCGCAGAGGGUGAGAAUCCCGUUUGUGGUCGCCUACCUUCGCCGUGUAAAGCCCCUUCGACGAGUCGAGUUGUUUGGGAAUGCAGCUCUAAAUGGGAGGUAAAUUUCUUCUAAAGCUAAAUACUGGCCAGAGACCGAUAGCGCACAAGUAGAGUGAUCGAAAGAUGAAAAGCACUUUGGAAAGAGAGUCAAACAGCACGUGAAAUUGUUGAAAGGGAAGCGCUUGCAGCCAGACUUGCCCGUAGUUGCUCACCCAGGCUUUUGCCCGGGGCAUUCUUCUGCGGGCAGGCCAGCAUCAGUUUGGGCGGUCGGAUAAAGGCCUCUGUCACGUAUCUCCCUUCGGGGAGAACUUAUAGGGGGGGCGUAAUGCGACCAGCCCGGACUGAGGUCCGCGCAUCUGCUAGGAUGCUGGCGUAAUGGCUGUAAGCGGCCCGUCUUGAAACACGGACCAAGGAGUCUAACAUCUAUGCGAGUGUUUGGGUGUCAAGCCCGAGCGCGUAAUGAAAGUGAACGGAGGUGGGAACCCUUUGGGUGCACCAUCGACCGAUCCUGAUGUCUUCGGAUGGAUUUGAGUAAGAGCAUAGCUGUUGGGACCCGAAAGAUGGUGAACUAUGCUUGAAUAGGGUGAAGCCAGAGGAAACUCUGGUGGAGGCUCGCAGCGGUUCUGACGUGCAAAUCGAUCGUCAAAUUUGGGCAUAGGGGCGAAAGACUAAUCGAAAGC